rnacentral:rRNA from 1 species
GACGUAGGGCGCGAGCGUUGUCCGGAUUUAUUAGGCGUAAAGAGCUCGUAGGCGGUUUGUCGCGUCUGCCGUGAAAGUCCGGGGCUCAACUCCGGAUCUGCGGUGGGUACGGGGCAGACUAGAGUGAUGUAGGGGAGACUGGAAUUCCUGGUGUAGCGGUGAAAUGCGCAGAUAUCAGGAGGAACACCGAUGGCGAAGGCAGGGUCUCUGGGCAUUAACUGACGCUGAGGAGCGAAAGCAUGGGGAGCGAACAGG